AGAUCUUCAUACCAAUGGGAUUGCUGAUAUGAAAAUUGAUUGUGGCGCAGAAUGUUCUAGAAGGUGUUCUCUAUCGUCAAGACCAAAUCUAUGCCAUAGGGCUUGCGGCACGUGUUGUGCCAGAUGUAACUGUGUGCCACCUGGCACUGCCGGCAACGACGAGGUUUGCCCCUGCUGGGCCAACCAGACUACUCACGGUGGCCAGAAAAAAUGCCCCUGAUUAAAAAUUAUAUCUUAAUUAUUUGCCCCUAAAUAUUAUAUAUGUUGUAUUUAGGGUUUAAUGUUUUUGAAUUUACACAUUUGGUGUUUAAUUUGUUUUCAGAUUCUAUGUCAUGAAUGGUAAAAUAUACCAUGUGUAUCAAUUAUCAUUUAAUUAAUAUUUACAAUCAUCCAUAUUAA